CCAGUAGCGUAUAUUAAAGUUGUUGCAGUUAAAAAGCUCGUAGUUGAAUUUCGGGGUUAGUAGGUUGGUCAUGCCUCUGGUAUGUACUGGUCUCACUGAUUCCUCCUUCCUGAUGAACCUUAAUGCCAUUAAUUUGGUGUUUUGGGGAAUUUGGACUGUUACUUUGAAAAAAUUAGAGUGUUUAAAGCAAGCUAACGCUUGAAUACAUUAGCAUGGAAUAAUGAAAUAGGACGUUCGAUCCUAUUUUGUUGGUUUCUAGGAUUGACGUAAUGAUUAAUAGGGAUAGUUGGGGGCAUUAGUAUUCAAUUGUCAGAGGUGAGAUUCUUGGAUUUAUUGAAGACUAACUACUGCGAAAGCAUUUGCCAAGGAUGUUUUCAUUAAUCAAGAACGAAAGUUAGGGGAUCGAAGACGAUCAGAUACCGUCGUAGUCUUAACCAUAAACUAUGCCGACUAGGGAUCGGAUGAUGUUGAUUUUUUAAUGACUCAUUCGGCACCUUACG
rnacentral:rRNA from 1 species